GGCCCGUUGGUCAAGCGGUUAAGACACCGCCCUUUCACGGCGGUAACACGGGUUCGAGUCCCGUACGGGUCAC
rnacentral:tRNA from 5 species